GUCAGGAUUGCUCAGUUGGUAGAGCAAAGGAUCCAUAAUCCUCUGGUCACCAGUUCGAAUCUGGUUCCUGGCA
rfam:Spinacia oleracea cultivar SynViroflay scaffold24863.con0001.1, whole genome shotgun sequence.